GUGCUUCCUUUUGGCAGCACAUAUACUAAAAUCGGAUCAAUGCACAGAUUAGCAUGGCCCCUUUGCAAGGGUGACAUGCAAAUUCCUGAAGCAUUCCAUCUUUUG